AUGCACGCUGGCGGCGUGCCUAAUACCUGCAAGUCGGGCGAACAGACGAGGAGCUUGCUCCUCUGACGUUAGCGGCGGACGGGGGAGUAACACGUGGAUAACCUACCUAUAAGACUGGGAUAACUUCGGGAAACCGGAGCUAAUACCGGAAAAUAUAUUGAACCGCAUGGUUCAAUAGUGAAAGACGGUUUUGCUGUCACUUAUAGAUGGAUCCGCGCCGCAUUAGCUAGUUGGUAAGGUAACGGCUUACCAAGGCAACGAUGCGUAGCCGACCUGAGCGGGUGAUCGGCCACACUGGAACUGAGACACGGUCCAGACUCCUACGGUAGGCAGCAGUAGGGAAUCUUCCGCAAUGGGCAAAAGCCUGACGGAGCAACGCCGCGUGAGUGAUGAAGGUCUUCGGAUCGUAAAACUCUGUUAUUAGGGAAGAACAAAUGUGUAAGUAACUAUGCACGUCUUGACGGUACCUAGUCAGAAAGCCACGGCUAACUACGUG
rnacentral:rRNA from 1 species